rnacentral:rRNA from 1 species
CCUACGGGAGGCAGCAGUAAGGAAUAUUGGUCAAUGGGCGGAAGCCUGAACCAGCCAUGCCGCGUGCAGGAAGACGGCCUAUGGGUUGUAAACUGCUUUUGCAGGGGAAUAUGUACUCUGAGAAUAAGGAUCGGCUAACUCCGUGCCAGCAGCCGCGGUAAUACGGAGGAUCCAAGCGUUAUCCGGAUUUAUUGGGUUUAAAGGGUGCGUAGGUGGCUUAUUAAGUCAGGGGUGAAAGACGGUAGCUUAACUAUCGCAGUGCCUUUGAUACUGAUGAGCUUGAAUGAACUAGAGGUAGGCGGAAUGUGACAAGUAGCGGUGAAAUGCAUAGAUAUGUCACAGAACACCAAUUGCGAAGGCAGCUUACUAUGUUUAUUGACACUGAGGCACGAAAGCGUGGGGAUCAAACAGGAUUAGAUACCCUUGUAGUC